GAUGAACGCUAGCUACAGGCUUAACACAUGCAAGUCGAGGGGAAACGACAUCGAAAGCUUGCUUUUGAUGGGCGUCGACCGGCGCACGGGUGAGUAACGCGUAUCCAACCUGCCCACCACUUGGGGAUAACCUUGCGAAAGUAAGACUAAUACCCAAUGAUAUCCCACGAAGACAUCUGAAUGGGAUUAAAGAUUUAUCGGUGAUGGAUGGGGAUGCGUCUGAUUAGCUUGUUGGCGGGGUAACGGCCCACCAAGGCAACGAUCAGUAGGGGUUCUGAGAGGAAGGUCCCCCACAAUGGAACUGAGACACGGUCCAAACUCCUACGGGAGGCAGCAGUGAGGAAGAUUGGGGAAUGGGCGAGAGCCUGAACCAGCCAAGUAGCGUGCAGGAAGACGGCCCUAUGGGUGGUAAACUGCUUUUAUAAGGGAAUAAAGUGGGUCACGUGUGACUUUUUGCAUGUACCUUAUGAAUAAGGACCGGCUAAUUCCGUG
rnacentral:rRNA from 1 species